rnacentral:rRNA from 1 species
UACUAGAGUAGCACUCGCAUAUCCAAUAAGCGGAGGAAAAGAAACUAACAAGGAUUCCCCUAGUAACGGCGAGUGAAGCGGGAAGAGCUCAAAUUUGAAAUCUUAAAGGGUUUCCCUUUACGAAUUGUAGUUUAAAGAAGUGUUUUCUGUUGAGGUUUUGGUAAAAGUUCUUUGGAAUAGGACAUCAUAGAGGGUGAGAAUCCCGUAUUUGACCUUUACUUUCAACUUUGUGAUACACUUUCAAAGAGUCGGAUUGUUUGGGAAUGCAGUCCAAAAUGGGUGGUAAAUUUCAUCUAAAGCUAAAUAUUGGCGAGAGACCGAUAGCGAACAAGUACCGUGAGGGAAAGAUGAAAAGAACUUUGAAAAGAGAGUUAAACAGUACGUGAAAUUGUCAAAAGGGAAGCGUUUGACACCAGUGUUGUUUUUCUGAAAAUCAAUUAAAGAACUGUUUAUGCUAAGCUGUUUAGACUUUAUCAGCUAUCUGUUUAGUUUUGAGCUUUUCUUUAAUGCACUUUUCAGUUAACAAGUCAACAUCAAUUUCUUUUGCUGUAAAAAAGCUUGAGGAAGGUGGCUUGAGAUUCGUCUUAAGUGUUUAUAGCCUCUUGCCUAUGCAGUCGGAGAGAUUGAGGUCUGCAGCGUAGAUCCUUCGGGGCUAAAUGCAUUUGUGCUAAGUUAUAGCAUUUUAUAGACAACUUGUUGACUAUGAUUUGUCUUGUAGCUUACUCGCUUAUGUUAUUUUACCUACGCUUAGGAUGUUGAACUACUGAGACAUAGA